CAGCAGCCGCGGUAAUACGUAGGUGGCAAGCGUUGUCCGGAAUUAUUGGGCGUAAAGCGCGCGCAGGCGGAUCGGUCAGUCUGUCUUAAAAGUUCGGGGCUUAACCCCGUGAUGGGAUGGAAACUGCCAAUCUAGAGUAUCGGAGAGGAAAGUGGAAUUCCUAGUGUAGCGGUGAAAUGCGUAGAUAUUAGGAAGAACACCAGUGGCGAAGGCGACUUUCUGGACGAAAACUGACGCUGAGGCGCGAAAGCCAGGGGAGCGAACGGGAUUAGAUACCCGUGUAGUCCCUGUCUCUUAUACA
rnacentral:rRNA from 1 species